rnacentral:tRNA from 1 species
AGAUUCAUGAGUUUGUCUUAGUCCUGCUAAGUCUAAAGACUUGCGGUUCGACUCCGUAAGAGUCUC